GAUUUAGAUGCACUAUUGUAAAGUGGUUGUUCCACUGGAUAUCAUAAGGUGAAUGCACCAAUUUGUAAGUCGCUCUGGAUAAGAGCGUCUGCUAAAUGACUUACAUGUAAAUGUAAAUGUAUUAUUAUUAUUUCCGUAGCCUAGGUUACACUAAUCGUCACGCUAGUCACUGACCUGUAUUACCUGUCCGUGAAGGCUAUAUCUGUACAGUGAUUUGAAUGCCAGUCUGCUGCACUCCAGUACUGUACCAGCACCACGACAAUAGUUGCAAUAGUCCUGAGAAUGACUGCACAUGUAAGGAUUGUGAUAUUGCUCACCUUUUUAUAUGUUCCUGUAAAAACUCCAUCAGUCAAUGAAGAUCCAGGAUUCACCAUUACUUGUACAAAUCGCAAAGGUGAAGUCAUAUACCGUAAAAAGGACUGGACUACAGCUUUUUCAGCAGGCAAUGCUAAAUGUACAAAGCGAGCAAAAGGCAAAGAAUUUCAGUGCCUAGAGUGGCAAUCCGAACUCUUUGAGACAUUUAAAAACCAAAAUAUCAAUUUCCCCUCAUACGGUGGCAUCUGGAGAGGGUGGAAAAAAUCAACAAAUUCACAAAAUACAAAACCAUUCGGAACAAAUCAAAUUUCACAUCUUGAUCAUAGCCAUACCAGUAUUAGGGCUAUUCAUUGUAUGAUUGGUGUGCUGCUAUACCAGAAGAUGGAAAGAUUGACAUCCUCAAACAUCUAAGGAGUAUUCACUAGUAACUUAAUAGAAUCAAAUGGAAGCAAGCCCCCCUAAUGAUUGCAUCCAACUAUAACAAACCAUGGCAGGCAGCAAAAACCAUAUUGUCUGUGACGACAAGCCUUUCAGUUGUCUGUGACGACUGAAAGAAGGAAAAAAAUCCCACUUAACAUGCAGAAGAUAACACAACAAUAAGAGACAACCUUUUAAUAAAUUCAGAAUUUGGAUGACUGUGAUUUUUUUAAAAAGUAUUACUUUUUAAAGCAGUGUUUUGUAUUUUGUAGAAUCUGUAAGGUCAAUAAGACUUUUAUUUUGUUGUUAAAAGACAAGCUUUAUCAUUUUGUUAUAAGACACUUUAUCAUUUUGUUCAGUUGCUUAGCUACCAGGUUUAGGGUAAUUUCGAAUGGAAGUCUUAGGAAGUGACUUUAGGAAGUAAUUUGAAUAAAAAUAUUUAAAAGAAAAAAAAUGUUUCACAUGAAUAGCAUCUCCUUUUCAGUUUAUUGAGAAGUCUUUGAAAAUAGAUGUCCUUUUUUCAAUUGUCGAAUUGACUGGCUUCAAUUUUUAUUGACCCCAGCCCUGUUACAGGGUAUGACAAUGACUGACUAUGACUUUCCCUUCCUCCUUCAAAAUCCCCAUUUGAGGAGC
rnacentral:lncRNA from 1 species